UGACCUUAAUGGGCAUUUUAGAUGAUUAUUUUGAUGGCUAUUUUUCAGAGGAUAUGAUAGAGUCUCAGGUGGAUCAACUUGUUUUUGAAGAGUUGGUGCGGGAGAGGUUUCCCAAAUUGGCCAAUCAUCUGGAUUAUCUAGGAGUGCAGGUUGCAUGGGUUACUGGACCAUGGUAUCUU